ACUGCUCAGUAACACGUGGAUAACCUGCCCUUGGGUCCGGCAUAACCCCGGGAAACUGGGGAUAAUUCCGGAUAACGCACAUAUGCUGGAAUGCUUUAUGCGUCAAAUGGAUUCGUCUGCCCAAGGAUGGGUCUGCGGCCUAUCAGGUAGUAGUGGGUGUAAUGUACCUACUAGCCGACAACGGGUACGGGUUGUGAGAGCAAGAGCCCGGAGAUGGAUUCUGAGACAUGAAUCCAGGCCCUACGGGGCGCAGCAGGCGCGAAAACUUUACAAUGCGGGAAACCGUGAUAAGGGGACACCGAGUGCCAGCAUCAUAUGCUGGCUGUCCAGAUGUGUAAAAUACAUCUGUUAGCAAGGGCCGGGCAAGACCGGUGCCAGCCGCCGCGGUAACACCGGCGGCCCGAGUGGUGAUCGUGAUUAUUGGGUCUAAAGGGUCCGUAGCCGGUUUGGUCAGUCCUCCGGGAAAUCUGAUAGCUCAACUAUUAGGCUUUCGGGGGAUACUGCCAGACUUGGAACCGGGAGAGGUAAGAGGUACUACAGGGGUAGGAGUGAAAUCUUGUAAUCCCUGUGGGACCACCUGUGGCGAAGGCGUCUUACCAGAACGGGUUCGACGGUGAGGGACGAAAGCUGGGGGCACGAACCGGAUUAGAUACCCGGGUAGUCCCAGCCGUAAACGAUGCUCGCUAGGUGUCAGACAUGGCGCGACCGUGUCUGGUGCCGCAGGGAAGCCGUGAAGCGAGCCACCUGGGAAGUACGGCCGCAAGGCUGAAACUUAAAGGAAUUGGCGGGGGAGCA
rnacentral:rRNA from 1 species